CGAACGGGUGAGUAACGCGUGAGGAACCUGCCUCAAAGAGGGGGACAACAGUUGGAAACGACUGCUAAUACCGCAUAAGCCCACGGCUCGGCAUCGAGCAGAGGGAAAAGGAGUGAUCCGCUUUGAGAUGGCCUCGCGUCCGAUUAGCUAGUUGGUGAGGUAACGGCCCACCAAGGCGACGAUCGGUAGCCGGACUGAGAGGUUGAACGGCCACAUUGGGACUGAGACACGGUCCAA
rnacentral:rRNA from 1 species